AACAAGGCGCCCUACGUGGGACGAGGUGGCCGAGUGGUUAAGGCGAUGGACUGCUAAUCCAUUGUGCUUUGCACGCGUGGGUUCGAAUCCCAUCCUCGUCGGUCGCGUUUUAGACGGCGUGAGGUGUGUACUUUUCUGCUUUCCUAUAGGAAAGGGGCCAGAGGUUCAGCGGCACCCAGAAGACCCUGAUUGGAAUUCUGGCUGAUGCCAGACUUGUGACCACUAUGUCGUCUGCAGUAAUUAGAGAGGCCCCUCCGGAGGUGCUACCGUAGUGUCCAAAGUAGUGGAAUUUGGAAGUGGCAGCCAAGGCUGUUGAAUUGAAGAGGACCAGGGGACCUAUAUUCUGCAACCCCAGCAGUAACACCUACUGAGCACCUGCUCCACACCAGGGGCUGUGUUAGGUACCCCUGAUAGGGCCUUGCAGGACGCUCGACAGGUACUAUCUUUGAAGGUUUUCACUGGUGACCUGUACUGGGAGAGAGGAGAAAUGAAUGUGCAGAUCCCUUUAGCACAAGCCUUGCAAACCGAAGGCUCGGACGUCAGAUUUGGUGCUGUUAGGGUCUUUUUUGACCUGCUCGGUGUUGAAAACAACCAUUUGAAUCACGUUAGUGGUUAACCUUGGUGAAUCAGAAGAUUUCACGGAAAAUCCCCACUGCCAACUUCUGUUUUAAAUUCCAAAAGAUCUGGCAAUUCCAGGCCGGGCCUGCAUUUCCACAGGGUGACAAUCAACCAGAAGGUAAGAGUAGCUCACCUUUUGCAAAUAGUUUUCUCUUUGCUAGAGGCUCAACCCUGCCCCUUCACUACUCACCCUGGCCCUUUGAGCAUUUGACUUUCAUCUGCAGCGCUCACAUAAUACCACCUCCACUGAAGAUCUGCCCAGGCAUCUGCUCCCAGUACCUUCCACCUCCCCCGCGCUACAAUGCUAGCCACAUAGCAGGCAGCAAUCUGUGUUUGUUGAAUGAGUGAAUAGGAAGCUUCUGAAGUGUCCCCAUUGGCCUUGGCAUAAGGGGAGACCGAAAAGUAGUGACUGGGCCUCACUGAGGCGUCAAGAUCAAGGAAAACCACACAGAAAACCCAGAGGAAGGCCUACAGACUGCUAUUGUGGGCGGAAAGGCCUGGCUGGGGAGACACGCUGUCUGUGAUGGAGCAGAGCAUGAGAGAGUCAAAGACCAGAGUUGAAAACCAUUAAUAAGGGGUCUGCUUUCCACGUACCUUACUCUCUGCGUCUCUUCCCUCUGGCCAUUCCUGAUUUAUAUAUCCCUUUGUAAUAAACCUGUAAACCAGCGAGUGAAA